rnacentral:rRNA from 1 species
UUUUUGAAAAUAAUUUAAAGUCUAAUCUGCCCACUGAUGAAAAUUAAAGGGCUGCAGGUAUAUUGACUGUACAAAGGUAGCAUAAUCAUUAGUCUUUUAAUUGAAGACUUGUAUGAAAGAUUUAAUGAAAUAUAAACUGUCUCUUAUUUAAAAAUAGAAUUUAAUUUUUUAGUUAAAAAGCUAAAAUAAAUUUAAAAGACGAGAAGACCCUAUAGAGUUUUAUAAUUAAAUUAUUUAAGAUUUUUUAUAUAAUUUAUAGUUAAAAAUAAUUUAAUUAUUAUAUUGGGGUGAUAAAAAAAUUAAAAUAACUUUUUUUUUAUAAUAACAUAAAUAAGUGAAAAGUUGAUCCAUUAAUAAUGAUUAAAAGAAAAAAUUACCUUAGGGAUAACAGCGUAAUUUUUUUUUUUAGUACAAAUAAAAAAAAGAGAUUGCGACCUCGAUGUUGGAUUAAGAUAAAAUUUAGAUGCAAAAGUUUAAAAUUUUGAUCUGUUCGAUCAUUAAAAUCUUACAUGAUCUGAG